CACACACACACACACACGAGAUAAUAGCCUUAAGUCCUGCACUGCAAUUGAAUCAGAGCUGGCCUCGCGUCAGCCGCAGCUGCUCUUAUUAGAGAGCAGAGAGGGUAAGAGACGCAAAAAGGGGGUGCAGGAGGGCGAGUGUGCGCUCAAAUACACAGCUACGAGCGGCUAAACGCACCGAUACGAACACACGUGCAGAGAAUGAGCAGAAAUCAGGCUGACAAAAAAGACUAGAUUCACGAGACCGGAAGUAAACUACUAAAAAGGCAGAGUAAAGAAGUGACACGGAGAAAGUAAAAUGAGACAGUGGUAGGUUUCACGUUGGUUUUAGCCUAAGUAGCCACAGGGGGUCAGCCUUGUUUACCUCUAAAUCUAUCAGCCAAAUAAUCAUGUGUAGAAUAUGGAAAUCCGUGAUUUACACCAACGGGACAUUGGAAACAAGCUAUUCAUUGAAAACUUAUGGCUGCGACCAGAUGACAUCACUGGCCCCAACCACGCUCACUAUACUAACAAGCACUCGCAAUCCACAUUUGUUUGGACAACCUCUUAAAAUAUUCAUAGUGAAGGCAUCUUCCAUCUUCUUUCUCUCCAUUUGACACUUGCUCAGACAGCCCUCACACAGGAAGCUCUCCUUGACCAGGUACAGCCUCUCGGCCGCCCCGGCCGCCCCGCCGCUGGGCGCCUGCUCCGUGGGGAUGGGGUUCCGCUCCAGGUUCACCCUCUCCAGCUUGCUGAGCCUAGCGAGGCAGGGCGGGACCCGGGUGAGCCGGUUGUCAGAGAGGCCCAGGUGGCGGAGGUCCUUCAACGCAGCGAUGAAGGUUCCUGCUCAGAUCCAGCUGAUCCACGUCGUGCAGCGCCUGGAUGCACUUCGGCACUGCGCCGAUCCCCUUGAAACUGAGAUCCAGCCGCCGUUUACCGUUCAGGAUCAGCUCCACGCAGUUCUGAGCCGUUUUCAAG